rnacentral:tRNA from 1 species
GCGCUCUUAGUUCAAUUCGGCAGAACAUGGGUCUCCAAAACCCAAUGCCGUAGGUUCAAAUCCUACAGAGCGCG